rnacentral:rRNA from 1 species
CCAGGCUGAAGGUACGGUAACACGUACUGGAGGGCCGAACCCACAUCUGUUGAAAAAGAUCGGGAUGAGCUGUGCCUAGGGGUGAAAGGCCAAUCAAACUCGGAGAUAGCUGGUUCUCCGCGAAAUCUAUUUAGGUAGAGCGUCACGUGAAUACCCUCGGGGGUAGAGCACUGGAUGGGCUAGGGGGCCGCGAGGCUUACCAAACCUAACCAAACUCCGAAUACCGAUGAGUAAUAUCUGGCAGACACACUACGGGUGCUAAGGUCCGUAGUGGAAAGGGAAACAGCCCUGACCGCCAGCUAAGGUCCCUAAGUGACGACUAAGUGGGAAAGGA